rnacentral:lncRNA from 1 species
AAAUCGAAAUGUUUGCCCUCUUCUCCCCCCCCUAAAAAAAAUCACUCGAUUAAAAAAAUUUAAUCUCUUAUGUAUUAUUUUAAUAUCUUAUUUACUUAAUUUAUUAUUUAUUUUGAGGCAUAAUAUAGUUUGCUAUUUUUUUUACUUAAUUAGCUAAAUUUUGUAGUUCUUUUUUUUUUAUAUUCUUAAGAAAUAUGAAUAUUUAUGCUAAUAGCAUAAAUUUUGAGAGAAAAAUAACUUAAUUUAAUAGCCGAAUUUUUGAUCCAGAAUUUUUAAUUGGUGAACGUAUAAUAUCUGUAUAAAUCAUAUAUCCAAAUAAUUGACGAAUCCGUUUUUUAUCCAUACUUUUCAACGAAUUUAAAAAUUAGAAGACGAAUUUUAUUCGAAUUAUACCUGUACCGAUUUUUUGCUGAACCUGAAUUAACUAACUAUGGUUAGGAUUUAGUUAGAUUUAUAAUUAAUUUUUUAAUUGAAUAAAAUUUAAUAUUUAAAAUUAUUAUAAAUAAAUUAAGAUUUAAAUAUUAAUUAGAGUAUAAAUUUAACUAGAUUAAGAUAAAUAUUUAAAUUUAUUGAAGAUAAAUUAAAUAUAAAUUUAAACAUUAUUUGGAGUUGGAAUCUAAUUAUAUUAGGAUGCAUUAU